rnacentral:lncRNA from 1 species
UUUCCUCCAUCCAUCGAAGUGAUCUGAGUCUGACUGUCUACCACCACCGGCCCUCAUCUCUCAUCUAGAAGUGAUCUGACUGUCUACCACCACCGGCCUACCACCACACAGCCACCGCGCGCUCUCUCUCUCUCUCUCUCUCUCUCUGUCCGCGCUCUGCCUCCAAAUAUUUCACUCACUUUCGCUCCCGCUCUCUCUCUCUCUAGA